rnacentral:rRNA from 1 species
GAUGAACGCUGGCGGCGUGCCUAAUACAUGCAAGUCGAGUGAACAGACGAGGAGCUUGCUCCUCUGACGUUAGCGGCGGACGGGUGAGUAACACGUGGAUAACCUACCUAUAAGACUGGGAUAACUUCGGGAAACCGGAGCUAAUACCGGAUAAUAUAUUGAACCGCAUGGUUCAAUAGUGAAAGACGGUUUUGCUGUCACUUAUAGAUGGAUCCGCGCCGCAUUAGCUAGUUGGUAAGGUAACGGCUUACCAAGGCAACGAUGCGUAGCCGACCUGAGAGGGUGAUCGGCCACACUGGAACUGAGACACGGUCCAGACUCCUACGGGAGGAAGCAGUAGGGAAUCUUCCGCAAUGGGCGAAAGCUUGACGGAGCAACGCCGCGUGAGUGAUGAAGGUCUUCGGAUCGUAAAACUCUGUUAUUAGGGAAGAACAAAUGUGUAAGUAACUAUGCACGUCUUGACGGUACCUAAUCAGAAAGCCACGGCUAACUACGUG